AAUGAACGCUGGCGGCAUGCCUAACACAUGCAAGUCGAACGAAGGCUUCGGCCUUAGUGGCGCACGGGUGCGUAACGCGUGGGAAUCUGCCCCUUGGUUCGGAAUAACAGUUGGAAACGACUGCUAAUACCGGAUGACGACGUAAGUCCAAAGAUUUAUCGCCGAGGGAUGAGCCCGCGUAGGAUUAGGUAGUUGGUGUGGUAAAGGCGCACCAAGCCGACGAUCCUUAGCUGGUCUGAGAGGAUGAUCAGCCACACUGGGACUGAGACACGGCCCAGACUCCUACGGGAGGCAGCAGUGGGGAAUAUUGGACAAUGGGCGAAAGCCUGAUCCAGCAAUGCCGCGUGAGUGAUGAAGGCCUUAGGGUUGUAAAGCUCUUUUACCCGGGAUGAUAAUGACAGUACCGGGAGAAUAAGCUCCGGCUAACUCCGUG
rnacentral:rRNA from 1 species